UUAAGCGACUAAGCGUACACGGUGGAUGCCCUGGCAGUCAGAGGCGAUGAAGGACGUGCUAAUCUGCGAAAAGCGUCGGUAAGGUGAUAUGAACCGUUAUAACCGGCGAUGUCCGAAUGGGGAAACCCAGUGCAAUUCGUUGCACUAUCGUUAACUGAAUACAUAGGUUAACGAGGCGAACCGGGGGAACUGAAACAUCUAAGUACCCCGAGGAAAAGAAAUCAACCGAGAUUCCCCCAGUAGCGGCGAGCGAACGGGGAGCAGCCCAGAGUCUGAAUCAGCUUGUGUGUUAGUGGAACGGUCUGGAAAGUCCGACGGUACAGGGUGAUAGUCCCGUACACCAAAAUGCACAGGUUGUGAACUCGAAGAGUAGGGCGGGACACGUGGUAUCCUGUCUGAAUAUGGGGGGACCAUCCUCCAAGGCUAAAUACUCCUGACUGACCGAUAGUGAACCAGUACCGUGAGGGAAAGGCGAAAAGAACCCCGGCGAGGGGAGUGAAAAAGAACCUGAAACCGUGUACGUACAAGCAGUGGGAGCACCUUCGGGUGUGACUGCGUACCUUUUGUAUAAUGGGUCAGCGACUUAUAUUCUGUAGCAAGGUUAACCGUAUAGGGGAGCCGCAGGGAAACCGAGUCUUAACUGGGCGUUAAGUUGCAGGGUAUAGACCCGAAACCCGGUGAUCUAGCCAUGGGCAGGUUGAAGGUUGGGUAACACUAACUGGAGGACCGAACCGACUAAUGUUGAAAAAUUAGCGGAUGACUUGUGGCUGGGGGUGAAAGGCCAAUCAAACCGGGAGAUAGCUGGUUCUCCCCGAAAGCUAUUUAGGUAGCGCCUCGUGAAUUCAUCUUCGGGGGUAGAGCACUGUUUCGGCUAGGGGGUCAUCCCGACUUACCAACCCGAUGCAAACUACGAAUACCGAAGAAUGUUAUCACGGGAGACACACGGCGGGUGCUAACGUCCGUCGUGAAGAGGGAAACAACCCAGACCGCCAGCUAAGGUCCCAAAGUCAUGGUUAAGUGGGAAACGAUGUGGGAAGGCACAGACAGCCAGGAUGUUGGCUUAGAAGCAGCCAUCAUUUAAAGAAAGCGUAAUAGCUCACUGGUCGAGUCGGCCUGCGCGGAAGAUGUAACGGGGCUAAACCAUGCACCGAAGCUGCGGCAGCGACACUAUGUGUUGUUGGGUAGGGGAGCGUUCUGUAAGCCUGCGAAGGUGACCUGUGAGGGUUGCUGGAGGUAUCAGAAGUGCGAAUGCUGACAUAAGUAACGAUAAAGCGGGUGAAAAGCCCGCUCGCCGGAAGACCAAGGGUUCCUGUCCAACGUUAAUCGGGGCAGGGUGAGUCGACCCCUAAGGCGAGGCCGAAAGGCGUAGUCGAUGGGAAACAGGUUAAUAUUCCUGUACUUGGUGUUACUGCGAAGGGGGGACGGAGAAGGCUAUGUUAGCCGGGCGACGGUUGUCCCGGUUUAAGCAUGUAGGCUGAUUAUCCAGGCAAAUCCGGAUAAUCAAGGCUGAGGUGUGAUGACGAGGCACUACGGUGCUGAAGUAACAAAUGCCCUGCUUCCAGGAAAAGCCUCUAAGCAUCAGGUAACAUCAAAUCGUACCCCAAACCGACACAGGUGGUCAGGUAGAGAAUACCAAGGCGCUUGAGAGAACUCGGGUGAAGGAACUAGGCAAAAUGGUGCCGUAACUUCGGGAGAAGGCACGCUGGUGUGUAGGUGAAGUCCCUGCGGAUGGAGCUGAGACCAGUCGAAGAUACCAGCUGGCUGCAACUGUUUAUUAAAAACACAGCACUGUGCAAACACGAAAGUGGACGUAUACGGUGUGACGCCUGCCCGGUGCCGGAAGGUUAAUUGAUGGGGUUAUCCGUAAGGAGAAGCUCUUGAUCGAAGCCCCGGUAAACGGCGGCCGUAACUAUAACGGUCCUAAGGUAGCGAAAUUCCUUGUCGGGUAAGUUCCGACCUGCACGAAUGGCGUAAUGAUGGCCAGGCUGUCUCCACCCGAGACUCAGUGAAAUUGAACUCGCUGUGAAGAUGCAGUGUACCCGCGGCAAGACGGAAAGACCCCGUGAACCUUUACUAUAGCUUGACACUGAACAUUGAGCCUUGAUGUGUAGGAUAGGUGGGAGGCUUUGAAGCGUGGACGCCAGUCUGCGUGGAGCCAACCUUGAAAUACCACCCUUUAAUGUUUGAUGUUCUAACGUUGGCCCCU
rnacentral:rRNA from 1 species